UACGUAGGGGGCAAGCGUUGUCCGGAAUCAUUGGGCGUAAAGCGCGCGUAGGCGGCCCGGUAAGUCCGUUGUGAAAGUCAAAGGCUCAACCUUUGAACGCCGAUGGAUACUGCCGGGCUAGAGUCCGGAAGAGGCGAGUGGAAUUCCUGGUGUAGCGGUGGAAUGCGCAGAUAUCAGGAGGAACACCGAUGGCGAAGGCAGAUCUCUGGGCCGUAACUGACGCUGAGGAGCGAAAGCAUGGGGAGCGAACAGG
rnacentral:rRNA from 1 species